rnacentral:rRNA from 1 species
AUACGGAGGGUGCAAGCGUUGUCCGGAUUUAUUGGGUUUAAAGGGUGCGUAGGUGGUUUUUUAAGUCAGUGGUGAAAGCCUACAGCUUAACUGUAGAGGUGCCAUUGAUACUGGGGAACUUGAGUAUGGACGAGGUAGGCGGAAUUUGUGGUGUAGCGGUGAAAUGCAUAGAUACCACAAGGAACACCGAUAGCGAAGGCAGCUUACUGGGCCAUAACUGACACUGAGGCACGAAAGCGUGGGGAGCGAACAGGAUUAGAAACCCUAGUAGUCC